CCUACGGGAGGCAGCAGUGGGGGAUAUUGCACAAUGGAGGGAACUCUGAUGCAGCGACGCCGCGUGAGGGAAGAAGGUUUUCGGAUUGUAAACCUCUGUCUUCGGUGACGAAACGAGACGGUAGCCGAGGAGGAAGCCACGGCUAACUACGUGCCAGCAGCCGCGGUAAUACGUAGGUGGCAAGCGUUGUCCGGAAUUACUGGGUGUAAAGGGAGCGUAGGCGGGAAAGCAAGUUGAAUGUUUAAGGUACGGGCUCAACCUGUACAAGCGUUCAAAACUGUUUUUCUUGAGUGGAGUAGAGGUAA
rnacentral:rRNA from 1 species